rnacentral:rRNA from 1 species
UGACCUCGGAUCAGGUAGGGAUACCCGCUGAACUUAAGCAUAUCAAUAAGCGGAGGAAAAGAAACCAACAGGGAUUGCCUC